CUCUCCCCGGCGCUGCUACGCAGAUGCCUAGACUCGGUUCGUCUCUCCCAUCCCAGAUUCAGCGAGGGUACAUCGGGGGAUGAGGGGGAGAGGUGUCCCUACACGGGUGGGACUGGAAAGAACCCCGUCCCCUUCCCUGCCGUCCGGACCUUCCAGUGUCUCCUGGCCCCUUCCGAGGAAAACCAGAAGAGGAAAGGAGCUGGACUCCAGAGGCAGGGCUUCUCCUUGCGUCUCAGGUCCGCUCCUCUCUUGCACGCCGACGAUGCCAGGUCCCCUGGAGCGCCUCAUACCCGCAGACCGCAGACCUCCCGCGCUGGGGCGAGAGAGUCGUGCUCAGCCGACUCCACGUUAGAGAGCGGGGAGAGGGAUCUCCACAGCCUGUAAUCUGCCAGGGAACGAACAGAACAGACAAGGCUGCGGGCUCCUUAAGGAACAGGACCUAGUCUUGCCUCGUUGUGGAGGUACUUUACCUUGUUAUGUUACCCCGUAACAAGGGAGUGGGGCAGAGCAGUGUACUCAAACUUGUUUGUCCACUUACUAGAAGGCGCACUUUUUCCUACUGUUAUCAUUGUGAACGGUGAUUGAACACCUAGCAAAAAUGGCAAAGAAAUGUAAGAGUCCUUGCCCUCAGGCAAUUUAUUUCAGGAGACAAAGUAGAUGAAAAUAAACAGCUGAUAAUUCUCAUGCCAUAUACAGAUGGUCCUCGACUUACAAUGGUUGACUUAAGAUUUUUCAACCUUACAGAUGGAUUUACCCUGAGGUAGCCCCAUCUUUAAGUCGAGAAGAAUCUGGAAAUUUUAUUUUAUUUUAUUUUAUGUUAUGUUAUUUAUUUUUUAUUUUAUUUGAGACGGAGUCUCGCUCUGUCGCCCAGGCUGGAGUGCAGUGGCGCGAUCUCGGCUCACUGCAAGCUCCGCCUCCCGGGUUCACGCCAUUCUCCUGGCGCAGCCUCCAGAGUAGCUGGGACUACAGGCGCCCGCCACCACGCCCAGCUAAUUUUUUGUAUUUUUAGUACAGACGGGGUUUCACCGUGUUAGCCAGGAUGGUCUCGAUCUUCUGACCUUGUGAUCCGCCCGCCUCGGCCUCCCAAAAUG
rnacentral:lncRNA from 1 species